rnacentral:rRNA from 1 species
UUGCCAGACUCCUACGGGAGGCAGCAGUGGGGAAUAUUGCACAAUGGGGGAAACCCUGAUGCAGCGACGCCGCGUGAGUGAAGAAGUAAUUCGUUAUGUAAAGCUCUAUCAGCAGGGAAGAAAAUGACGGUACCUGACUAAGAAGCCCCGGCUAACUACGUGCCAGCAGCCGCGGUAAUACGUAGGGGGCAAGCGUUAUCCGGAUUUACUGGGUGUAAAGGGAGCGUAGACGGCAUGGCAAGUCAGAUGUGAAGGCCCGGGGCUCAACCCCGGGACUGCAUUUGAAACUGUCAGGCUGGAGUGCAGGAGAGGUAAGUGGAAUUCCUAGUGUAGCGGUGAAAUGCGUAGAUAUUAGGAGGAACACCAGUGGCGAAGGCGGCUUACUGGACUGUAACUGACGUUGAGGCUCGAAAGCGUGGGGAGCAAACAGGAUUAGAUACCCGCGUA